rnacentral:rRNA from 1 species
AGCAGCCGCGGUAAUUCCAGCUCCAAUAGCGUAUAUUAAAGUUGCUGCAGUUAAAAAGCUCGUAGUUGAAUUUCGGGGUCAAUAUGUUGGUCGUGCCUCGGUACGUACUAGCUUAUUGGUUUCUUCCUUCUGACGAACCAUAAUGUCAUUUAUUUGGUGUUAUGGGGAAUCAGGACUGUUACUUUGAAAAAAAUUAGAGUGUUUAAAGCAGGCUCACGCUUGAAUACAUUAGCAUGGAAUAAUGAAAUAGGACGUUUGAUUUCUAUUUUGUUGGUUUCUAGGAUCGACGUAAUGGUUAAUAGGGAUAGUUGGGGGCAUUAGUAUUCAAUUGUCAGAGGUGAAAUUCUUGGAUUUAUUGAAGACUAACUACUGCGAAAGCAUUUGCCAAGGAUGUUUUCAUUAAUCAAGAACGAAAGUUAGGGGAUCGAAGACGAUCAGAUACCGUCGUAGUCUUAACCAUAAACUAUGCCGACUAGGGAUCGGAUGAUGUUAAUUUUUUAAUGUACUCAUUCGGCGCCUU